UAUGAAUAAUAUAGUAAUCAGAUGUUUUGCUAAGCGCCUCAAUUAAUAUUAAUGCGCCAACCUCUUGAGAACUUUAAGAAGUGUGUUAGAGGAAUUAAUAUUAAUGCGUCAACCUCUUGAGAAUUAAGAAGUGUGUUAGAGGGAGAAAAGAAAACUAGAAAACAUUUGAUUAAAUUCAAAGUCUGAUAAAACAAAUAACAUUGCAAAAUUUAACUCAUGUUAAUAACUAAAAGAACAGAACUUAGGUUCAUCCUAGGGGGUGAACCUUUAAAUUCACUACAUUCUUAUAACCAAUCAAAGUGACACAUAGAUUAUUAAUUAAAAAACAUUAAAUUAAAUAAAAAAUAGCUAUAAAAAAUAAAAACGUUAAUUUUAACGACGCUAACGCUUCCAGCUAAACCAUAAACACUAAAUCUUAAAUUCUAAACCCUACACCCUAAAUUCUAAAUCCAAAUUCACACCUCUAAACCCAAACCCUAUACCCUAAACCCUAAACCCUAAUCCUAGACCUUAAACCCAAAUUAUAUAUCUUAAACCCAAAAACUAGACUAUAAACCUAAACUCUAUACCCUAAACCCAAGUCCUAGACCCUAAACCCAAACCGUAAACCUUAAACCCAAAUUAUAUAUCUUAAACCCAAAAUCUUAACCAUAAGUCCGAACGGUAAAUCCUAAACCCAAACCGUAAAUCCUAAACCAAAAACCUAAAUCCUAAACCCAAAACCUAUCCGUAAACCCAAAUCCUAGACCUAAAACCCAAACGGUAAACCCUAAAUCC
rnacentral:lncRNA from 1 species